rnacentral:rRNA from 1 species
CCUACGGGUGGCAGCAGUGGGGAAUAUUGCGCAAUGGGCGAAAGCCUGACGCAGCGACGCCGCGUGAGGGAUGAAGGUCUUCGGAUCGUAAACCUCUGUCAGCAGGGAAGAACGGUCACUGUGCUAAUCAGCAGUGAAUUGACGGUACCUGCAAAGGAAGCACCGGCUAACUCCGUGCCAGCAGCCGCGGUAAUACGGAGGGUGCGAGCGUUAAUCGGAAUUACUGGGCGUAAAGCGCUCGUAGGCGGUAUGGCAAGUCAAGGGUGAAAUCCCCGCGCUCAACGUGGGAACUGCCUUUGAAACUGGCAAACUGGAGUGUGUGAGAGGAUAGUGGAAGGCGUGGUGUAGCGGUGAAAUGCAUAGAUAUCACGCAGAACCCCGAUUGCGAAGGCAGCAUGCCGGCUUCCUACUGACGCUGAAGCACGAAAGCGUGGGGAUCGAACAGGAUUAGAUACCCCAGUAGUC